GGAGAGGUGGCAGAGUGGUUGAACGCGCCGCUCUCGAAAAGCGGUAUACCCGCAAGGGUAUCGAGGGUUCGAACCCCUCCCUCUCCGCCA
rnacentral:tRNA from 1 species